rnacentral:ncRNA from 1 species
CUCUCCUGUACCAGAGCUGGCAGAUGGGAAUCUGUCGGGAGUGUCAGGGAGAGUCCAGACCGGUUCCGGCGAUGCGAAAGCAUCCAAAAAUAAAACCGGACCGGACAGCUUGGUAGGGAAACCGAAGAGUCGUCCGGUCC